rnacentral:lncRNA from 1 species
UUUGUGUCUGUUCUUGUCGUACAAAACACAGGAGCCAAGAAGGGCUCUCAACCUCAAACCCUAACAAGCAUAAAAUCAACAAAUUGAAGGGGUAAAUCCAACCUAAAUCGAAAUCCAAGCACGAAUUCAUGAUCACCUCGAUGAAGGGAUCAUAAGCUAGAUGGAGGCUUGGGGAAAGAAGCGGGUCAAACGGAUCGUAUACGCGGAAAAGAGCAUAAUCCGGAUACUAGUUGAAGGACACUCGCAUCUAAAGAUAGCGGGAGUCUAACAAAUUGCGGACUUGACGGAGGAACGGUCCAAAGUACGACAAGUAGAACAUACUCACCAAGGACCUAAAUCACGCAACGAUCGCGAACAAGGCUAAUGGCAUGAAAAGCCUGUCAGGGCAAGCGUUACCAGUUUGACUCUUGACAAGCUAGAUGGAGGCUUGGGGAAAGAAGCGAGUCAAACGGAUCGUAUACGCGAAAAAGAGCAUAAUCCGGAUACUAGGUAAGUUAAAGCUUACACCUUUUAUUAACAACUAUUGGUUUUAUAGAUUAUGAAUAAUCAAAAGUCAUAUUUGACUUAUGAUGUUUUGACCCAUCAUGUGCGGUUCGGAACAAAAGACAUUAAUGAUAAACCAUGUUGAAUGAUUAAAAAGAGCUAAUAAGAUCAUUUAGUCAUGCAAUGACUAAUAAAGAACGAGUUCUAAAUGAUUACCUUGUAAGGUAAAUCAAUACAAUUAAUAAGGGUUAAACGGUAAGAUGGUCACUAGUUGACGAUAACCGUUAGUUUUGAAGGACACUUUAUGGCGUAAGAUAUAAAGGGGUCAAAAUGAUCAAGAAAUAGAUUUAUAAGGAAAAUUGACCGUACAGUGUAAACCGGUACAAGUCAUGUAGACGAGAUGAUGAUAAAUCCAUCUCGCAAAAGUAAACGGUCAUUUAGACCAAACGGGUCAAAAGGUGAAAAUAUCACCCUUUGACAAUAUCGACUAAUGGUUUGUCGAGUUGUGUGAUUACAGGAAUAAAUAUCGAUUGAAUGUUGACAUCGCUAUUACUUAGCGGCUACUAAGGCAAGGUAUCGAAACGGGUCAAUAUAUUGAUCCGAGCCAGGUUUGUAUAAUGAUUCAACUCGUCAUGUAGAACUUGAGGUUCUAUAAGUGUUAGACAAGGAUAAAAUAUAGAUAUUAGGUUAUCAUUAUGGUAAACCGAAUAAAUUGGGUCAUGAUUAUGGUAUUUUAGAAAUAUAAUGGUCUCUAAACAAGAUUAUAGUUUUAAAAGUGAGAUUUUGGUCCAACAUGGCUUUAAAGAUCCUUCGUCGUAAUAGGAGGGGUAAAAGUGACCAAAAUGCUCUUAUAAGUGAAAUUAAGCAAACGAUCCCUAAAGGUUGCUUAGAAAUGAGUUUUGUAACCAAAUAGAUACUUGUAUUAAGUAUAAAAAGUGAAAUAUGUGAAUCUUUGGGUCAAAUGACUCUAUAUGAGUCUUUGCCGUAAAAUGAUAAUCCGAGGGGUAAAACUCGGAAUAAAUAGAUCUCCACAUUAAAUCCUCCACACAUAUAGUUGUGGUGGAAGACAAAUUGAUAAAUAAUAUGGAAGUACAAUGCUAGAAGUGAAUGGGUAUGAAUUAUGCGGUAAAAGUGCUUAAAUACCCUUAACGGGUCAAAAUAAACUUCUAAGUCAAAACGGAUUAAAGAAGGUAUACAAACCCGUGAUUUUGAGCCUAAUAUAAUAGGAGAUAUUGAAAUUAUGAAGUUCAUGGGUUUAAAGAUCAAAUAGGCAUGUUUGUUUGAUAAAAUCACGAACGGGUCAAAAUUUGGUAAAAAGGGUAAUAAGCCAAAGAUUUAAAAGUCUUAAAUUUUGUUAAUCCGGAUGUCGGAUUUUAACUCCAUAUGAUGGAGAAUUAAAUUACGGACGCGUAGGAAAAAGAAUCGUGUAAAACGGAUUAAAAACGAGAGAGUUAUGUCCGUUUCGGUAAGAACUAAUUAAAAAUAGACGUGCAGAGUUGACACGGGCGGGUGACUUUUUGACACGGCCGGGUGGCUGGGCUGUGAAAAAUAUAUGUUAACUGACACGGCCGGGUGACUUUUUGACACGGCCGGGUGAAGGGGCUGAAAACAAAACAAAACUAAUUUCUUGUUUUGUUACGUUAAGCACGGAACUUGUUUAUACUCGAUUAUUAAAGUGUCAAAACUAAUUAUUUACAUGGUUUUGACCGUAGGUGAAGAUGGACCUAAUCUGGAUGAAGAUCAAGCGGCGAACAAGAACCGAACACACGUUAAAUGAAGCUUCCGCGUCAAAUCCUGAUUUGUGUUGAUAUAAGUGAAUUAUGUAAACACUUAUAAAUUGUUUUUGAAAUGUUGUAAUCAUUUGGGAAUGUUGGUAUAACAAGUUUUUAGAGACACAUUUUAGCAUAAAAAUUUGUAUCUUUUAUUAAAAUAUUAAUAAAACCAGACGGGCGUUACAUCCGCCGCGACCCGCCACCCCCUUA